GGGCGGCUGGCGCAGAGGGAGCGCGCUUCCCUGACACGGAAGAGGUCGCUGGUUCGAUCCCAGCGUCGCCCA
rnacentral:tRNA from 1 species